rnacentral:rRNA from 1 species
UACGUAGGGGCCGAGCGUUGUCCGGAGUUACUGGGCGUAAAGCGCGCGUAGGCGGCUCGUCAAGCCUGACGUGAAAGCCCCCGGCUCAACCGGGGAGGGUCGUCGGGGACUGGCGGGCUUGAGGUCGGCAGGGGUUGGUGGAAUUCCCGGUGUAGUGGUGAAAUGCGCAGAUAUCAGGAGGAACACCUAUUGCGAAGGCAGCUCGCUGGGACGUAACUGACGCUGAGACGCGAAAGCGUGGGGAGCAAACAGG